rnacentral:rRNA from 1 species
UGGGGAAUAUUGGACAAUGGGCGAAAGCCUGAUCCAGCAAUGCCGCGUGAGUGAUGAAGGCCUUAGGGUUGUAAAGCUCUUUUACCCGGGAUGAUAAUGACAGUACCGGGAGAAUAAGCCCCGGCUAACUCCGUGCCAGCAGCCGCGGUAAUACGGAGGGGGCUAGCGUUGUUCGGAAUUACUGGGCGUAAAGCGCACGUAGGCGGCUUUGUAAGUUAGAGGUGAAAGCCCAGGGCUCAACCCUGGAAUUGCCUUUAAGACUGCAUCGCUUGAAUCAUGGAGAGGUGAGUGGAAUUCCGAGUGUAGAGGUGAAAUUCGUAGAUAUUCGGAAGAACACCAGUGGCGAAGGCGACUCACUGGACAUGUAUUGACGCUGAGGUGCGAAAGCGUGGGGAGCAA